CGAACGGGUGAGUAACGCGUGAGGAACCUGCCUCAAAGAGGGGGACAACAGUUGGAAACGACUGCUAAUACCGCAUAAGCCCACGGGUCGGCAUCGACCUGAGGGAAAAGGAGCAAUCCGCUUUGAGAUGGCCUCGCGUCCGAUUAGCUAGUUGGUGAGGUAAUGGCCCACCAAGGCGACGAUCGGUAGCCGGACUGAGAGGUUGAACGGCCACAUUGGGACUGAGAUACGGCCCAG
rnacentral:rRNA from 1 species